rnacentral:rRNA from 1 species
GGUGAACACGGAGCUUGCUCUGUGGGAUCAGUGGCGAACGGGUGAGUAACACGUGAGCAACCUGCCCCUGACUCUGGGAUAAGCGCUGGAAACGGCGUCUAAUACUGGAUAUGUGACGUGAUCGCAUGGUCUGCGUCUGGAAAGAAUUUCGGUUGGGGAUGGGCUCGCGGCCUAUCAGCUUGUUGGUGAGGUAAUGGCUCACCAAGGCGUCGACGGGUAGCCGGCCUGAGAGGGUGACCGGCCACACUGGGACUGAGACACGGCCCAGACUCCUACGGGAGGCAGCAGUGGGGAAUAUUGCACAAUGGGCGCAAGCCUGAUGCAGCAACGCCGCGUGAGGGAUGACGGCCUUCGGGUUGUAAACCUCUUUUAGCAGGGAAGAAGCGAAAGUGACGGUACCUGCAGAAAAAGCGCCGGCUAACUACGUGCCAGCAGCCGCGGUAAUACGUAGGGCGCAAGCGUUAUCCGGAAUUAUUGGGCGUAAAGAGCUCGUAGGCGGUUUGUCGCGUCUGCUGUGAAAUCCGGAGGCUCAACCUCCGGCCUGCAGUGGGUACGGGCAGACUAGAGUGCGGUAGGGGAGAUUGGAAUUCCUGGUGUAGCGGUGGAAUGCGCAGAUAUCAGGAGGAACACCGAUGGCGAAGGCAGAUCUCUGGGCCGUAACUGACGCUGAGGAGCGAAAGGGUGGGGAGCAAACAGGCUUAGAUACCCUGGUAGUCCACC